rnacentral:rRNA from 1 species
UACGGGGGGGGCAAGCGUUGUUCGGAAUUACUGGGCGUAAAGGGCUCGUAGGUGGCCAACUAAGUCAGACGUGAAAUCCCUCAGCUUAACUGGGGAACUGCGUCUGAUACUGGAUGGCUUGAGUUUGGGAGAGGGAUGCGGAAUUCCAGGUGUAGCGGUGAAAUGCGUAGAUAUCUGGAGGAAUACCGGUGGCGAAGGCGGCAUCCUGGACCGACAUUGACGCUGAGGAGCGAAAGCUAGGGGAGCAAACGGG